GGUGGGGGGACAUGGGGCGGGUAGGCAGACACGCGAUCCUCCACUUGGUUCUCAGCACAAGAAACUGGACUCUGAGCCCUACACCACACAAGGCUCUUUUGUCAGACUUCAUGUCUGAGGCCAGGGUUUGCUCCCCCAGGUUCUGUGCAGGCCCCCACCUCCCCACCCCACCCCACUCCCCCUCCAUCCUAGGCAGUCCAUUCUUUCCAACCAAGACCACUGGAAGCAGCUCAAAGCAGCAUGGGUUGGCCUAUGCUGCAUCUGACCGUAUUUUAAGAGGCUUUUAAUUCUGGAAUAGUUCUAGGGUGAGUUCAUUGUGUAAAUUCCAAUGCAAACACUUUUUGUUUUCAUCAUCCUCAUUGUUUGGUUUCCUCUAACUCAUGUAAUCAGUUGAAAUAUUAAUUACAAAAAGAUGGCGGGGCAUAUAGAGCUGGAAGCGAUUUGCUUUAUCCGACAACAGAGGAGGAGACGAGCCUGGAGGGGAGAGACUUGCCCUAGAUUGCCAGCCCCUGGUAGGGCUCCCUGGGCCCUACCCUUGGUUCCUGGGCUUCUGUCCUAUUUGCUGACUUGCAUUUCCAGUGCUGAUUUCCCUGGAAGUGGCAAAGCACUGGAAUGACCCGUGAACUUAGGAAGUGUCUGAAUAGUGUGGAAGCCACGGUGGGAGCUUGGACCCUCUUGGAAAGGAAGCUGGAGUGGUGAGAAGCCACUGUUUGGCUGUGGGUGUGGGGCAUGGAGAGGGGGCAGAUUUCUCUUUCCUGCUAAGGUCAUUCAUCAAGGGGGGACUCCAGGGCCCCUGACCUGCUGGGGUGAUGGGUGACGCUGGGACUCUCUCACCGCAGGGCUGCCUUCAGAUUAGAAAGGGAAAGGGUGCUGGUAACGGCAGCUCCUCUGCUUAGCUGGAGUGACAGGCAGCCAUGCAGGAGGGCUGCAGCUGGGGUCAGCCCAUGCAGUGAUUCCCUGGUGGUCCUUGGGCAAAUCAAACCUCCUUCCCCAUCUACAGACAGAAGGGGGAUAGGCUCAGACUUGUUUUACAGGCUUGUUGUAGUGAUAAAAUAAAGUCUGUGAGAGCAACAUCUGACAUAUGCCAGCGGAGGGUGCCCAGGGGGCAUGUGGCUCACCCUGAGCAGUGGCCGUGGCACAGGCUGGGGUGUCUGCCGCUGGGGAGGCGAGAGAGCAGAGCGGUGCUGCAGUGGCUGUCCCAGCUGGGGGAGUAGGAACCUCUGCUGGAGGUGGAGCUGUGUGUCCCCGUGAACUCACUGGGUGACUUUUGGUUCUUCGCCCAGAGCUCCAGCAUCACCAAUGAGUGGGCCUGCCCUUUCUUCCCAAACUCUGAGACUUGGGCGAACACUUGAUCUUCUGGGACUCUGCUUCAUCCUUUGAUGGAGUUCGUGCCCAUUGGGUUGGUUAGAGUGAGGAAUAAAAGGAUCCUGUCACUAAGUGCUUUGCACAGUGAGCCAUCAUCUGCCAGUCCAAUGUGGGGAGAAUAUGCCAGGGGGAGAUGAGGGCAGGAGCCUCACGUAGGGUGUGAGCCAGGCAGUGGCUCAGAGCAAACUGAGAAGGUCCUUCCAGCCCUGGAUUCAUGUCUCCAUGGAAACCUGCUCUUGCCAGAGAGUCCGCCCAGCCCAGGCCCCCCUCCUCCAGGGCUGGUGGGUUCUUCAGCUGGAGCUCCAGCAUCACCGAUGAGUGGGCCUGCCCUUUCUUCCCAAACUCAGAGAACUGGAAUGGGUUUCCUUACCUGGGACCUGCAGUUGACUGGGGAAUGGAAUCCAGGAUUCUGAGUGCAGAAGUUUCCAGAUUCAGGACUCAUAAAAUCUUAAUAUAGCCCCGAGACUGUCAUGUUUACAGACAGUGCAGCAAAGGCAGUGGCUUGGAGUGUGACCAGAGAGUUUGCAGAACAAACGCACCAGGGAGGGGCUUGGAUGGAAAUAACCAAGCGCUCUCCCCGCAGGGCGUCAGGAAGACAGAAGAAGCUGGACAGAAAGAGAUCAAGAUUUAACUGGUUAUGCUGUAGACCAUGGCAGAUCGUAACAGAAGACAAAGCCCUUAAAAGAAAUGAAACUAUCCUCAUUAAAGGCCUGAUGGCUCACACCAUCCAGGAGAUCUCCUCUGCUACCAACUCCCAGCAGCUGAUUCAGCGGUCCUUCAUGAACAAUAGGCAACUGAACAAGAAAAUGAGUUUAUAUUGUUCAAAAGAAAGAAGAAUGCCUCUUUUUUCCCUUGAACAAGGGAGGUGGAGACUAACAAAAGAUUCUUUGCUUGACCAAACUUUAGUCAGGCUUCUAAAUCUUCCCCUCGGCCCGUCUGUGCACUUCCUUGUGAAAUCCAGUUUUAGCAAAGAACAUUUGUAAGUCAGUUUAGCAAGAACCCACCUCCCCACCCCCAUCCUCAAUAUCUGAUCAGGUUGCUCAGUUGCCAUCAUCCCCCAGGUGAUGUCUGAUUACCCUAGCCUGUCUUCAGCAAGAAUUCUGUUAGGUCAGUUCAGCCAGAAUCUCCCUUAACUCUUAUGUUUCCUCUCAGUAAUUUUUUUAUUUUUAUUUUAUUAUUAUUUUUUUGAGACAGAGCCUCCCUCUGUCACCCAGGCUGGAGUGCAGUGGCACGAUCUUGGCUCACUGCAACUUCUGCCUCCUGAGUUCAAGUGAUUCUUGUGCCUCAGCCUCCUAAGUGGCUGGGACCAUAGGUGUGUGUUGCCAUACCCAGCUAAUUUUUUUUUUCCUCAAGACGGAGUCUUGCUCUGUCGCCAAGGCUGGAGUGCAAUGGCGCAAUCUCAGCUCACUGCAACUUCUGCCUCUUGGGUUCAAGCAAUUCUCCUGCCUCAGCCUGCCGAGUAGCUGGGAUUACAGGUGCUCGCCACCACGCCCAUCUAAUUUUUUGUAUUUUUAGUAGAGACUAAAAAUAGUCUCUAGACCAUGUUGGCCAGGCUGGUCUUGAACUCCUGACUUUGUGAUCUGCCCACCUCGGCCUCCCAAAGUGCUAGGAUUACAGGCAUGAGCCACUGUGCCCACCCGGUGCCCAGCUGAUUUUUUAUAUUUUUAGUAGAGACUGGGUUUUGCCAUGUUGCCCAGGCUGGUCUUGAACUCCUGAGCUCAGGGCAAUCUGCCUGCCUCGGCCUCUCAGAGUGCUAGGAUUACAGGUAUGAGCCACCGUGCCCGGCCUUCUUCUUAGUAAUUUUCUAUCCACUGACCCCCACACUCUUCAUGGCUAUAAAUUCCUAUAUAAUUGCAUAAAUUCUACGCAAUCUCUCUCCCCAACUCUGAGACCCCAUUGCAGUGGUACCCUAUAACUAUGUCAAUGGCCCUGAAUAAAGUCUUCCUUACCAUGCUUUAACAAGUAUUAUUGAACACAUUUUCUUUAACAACAGCAAGAAAAAAGCAAAGCAGGAAAGGGAUGUAAGAAAGAGUGAGAUGAAUAACACACUUCCAAGAGGGAGGGCUCAAAGAAGGAAAAGGAAAGAUCAAAUGAGUUCCUUAUAUCCCAAAAGAAACUGCAGACGCAACGGACCAACAAACUGAGCUCAACUGAACUCUGUAAGUUUCAAGCAGAGAUUCUGUGACAACAGAGAGAUGAAAGGCAAGUUGAGGAAACAAAUGGAAGAAAAAGAUAAAACAUUACAGUGACGGGAACCACGUUCAAAGCCACACAACCCUGAAAGCACAAGUUUGACAAAAUUGUGCAAAACAAACUGGCACAAAAAACAUGCAAGAUUGAUCGUAAAGAAGAUGUAAAUGGCAGGCAAAGGGCAACUGGUUUUUCCAAGAAGAGAACAGAAUGGAUGAAACUGAAAAGGCAUUCAAGGAACCAUGGGAAGCUGACUUUUCAGAAGGAGGACAUGGACUUCCAAUUCAACUGAGCACGUUGUAUCCCAGAAAGAGAAACAUAGACAGAGUGACCCAUGCUGAAGCAUAACUAUGGUUAGCUUCUGAACACAGUGACAAAGGCAGAAUCCUAUCAACCAAAAAGCCAAAGGAAACCAAAGCACAAAUUCCCCCACAGCAUUCAGCACCCGAGGAUGGUGGCCACAAUCUACAGUUUGGGGGAAAGGAAAUGUGGAUCAGCAGACCCUGGCACGUAUAAAGACCACACACAGAUGGCUUUACACGUGUGGGCACUCAGGGCGGACAGUUCCUAAAAGCCGUUUUUGACAGAACACUGAGGAAUCAAACUGUAGAUCUUAGGAACAAGGAACUGUGCUGAAAACGAAUGACAGUGAACACAGAAUCCAUUCUAUUUUGGAAUUAAGACCCCAGUAACUAGUGAAAUUGUGUUAUAAAACAGAGAGUAACUCUUAUAAACAUGGCCGGUGUAAAUCAUGAUGUCAUCACCAAAUCGGAAAAGGAGGUGAGGGAACGCUGGCACUUCCCUCAUCUUUCAGAGCAGGAAGUAAAACUUGAAACAUGCAGUCAUAUCAAAAUCCAAUAACCUUGAAUAAUCACUCUUUGUCUACCCUUUUCUCCCCUUGACUUUGAAGGGAUCAUUUGGUCCUUUUUAUAUUGCUUGAAUUUGUUUUUUUCAUUGAUGCAUAAUAUUCAUACAUAUUUGUGAGGUACAUAUAAUGAUAUGGUUUGGAUCUGUGUCCUCGCCCAAAUCUAUUGUAAUCCCCGGUGUUGGAGGUGGGUCUUGGUGGAAGUGAUUUGAUUAUUGGGGUGGAUUUCCCCCGUGUACUGCCCUCAUUAUAGUGAGUGAGUUCUCAUGAGAGCUGGUUGUUCAAAAGUAUGUGGCACUUCCCCCUUGCUCUUGGUCCUGCUCCUGUCACAUAAGACGCCGGCUCUCAUUCACCUUCUGCCAUGACUAGAAGCUCCCUGAGGCCUCCCCAGAAGCAGAUGCUGCCAUGCUUCCUGUACAGCCUGCAGAACUGUGAGCCAAUUAAAGCUCUUUUCCUUAAAAAUUA